rnacentral:lncRNA from 1 species
GUGCUUGAUGGUUGUUGUGGUUCUAUUGCAGGUGGUGGUGGGUUAGGGGUAGUUGUGAUGGCGGGUUAGGUGUGGUGGGUGAAGGGGUGGUUUUGUUGGUUGGUUAGGUGCGACGGUGGGUGAAGGUAUGGUUGAUGGUGGUGGCUCGGGUUAGCCUGCUUAUUUCUGUUUGCAAUUCAGGUGUGGUUGAUGGUGGCGGUGGCGGUGGUGUUGGUGGUGGCGGUGGAGGGUGA